rnacentral:tRNA from 1 species
GGGCUCAUAGCUCAACGGUUAGAGCAGCCGGCUCAUAACUGGUUGGUUGGGGGUUCGAAUCCCUCUGGGCCCAC